CGAGAGAGAGAAGGAGAGCGCUGGGGAAGGGAAAGCCGUCACGCCACCACCGCGCCGCUCAGGACUGCCGCCUCGCCACAACCGCCGUCGCGUCGCCGUUUGUGCCAGCGUUGAGGAGACCGCGCGGGGAAGAGAGACGCGCGAAGGAGGAGGCCGCGGGUUGCCGGUUUGUCCACGAGCCGCCUCCAGAACCGCGAAGAGAAGGAGAAGCUCGCACCGCCGUAACCUGUCGCUGCCAUUCGUCCUUGCCGCCGCCAGCUGCGCCGUCGGGAAGAAGAGAUGCGCCAAAGAGGGAAGCUCAAUUCUGUCACCACCGCCGCGCCGCGCUCCAUGCUGACGCCACCACUGUUCCGCCACGAGAGAAGGAUGCGCGAGGGAGGAAACAGAACCGCGUGGGAGCUCAGCCAUGGAGAGAAGAGACGCGCGUCGGAUCUGUCGCCGCCGGUCCGCCCAGCCGACCCGUCGCCAAACCACGUCGCCGUCAGUGAAGCUGUCUCCGUCACCGCUGCCGGAGGUCGCCAUCGGAGCCGCCGCUCCACUUCUGUCAUUCUUCUUUUUACAGGUUGAUUUUAUGAGUCUGCUUGUCAAAAAUUAAGGUUGUUGCUGAGCCACUGAAGCUCCUAGCCGCUGUCGGAGCUGCUGCCGGUUAAGUUUGGGGUGGCUGGCGUGUCGUUCUUUUAUUCCAGAGUUCAUAACCGGGGUUGCAUGUUGUGACUUAAAGGUGUUUAUGCUGUUGCGAAAGUGUGCGGGCUAUGAAUUAAAGCUGCCAUUGGUUUCGAGACGAGAUGAAAGGAAUUCGUUAAUGCGUUUGGGUUAUGGGUUCACUUAUCGAGGUAGGAGUCUUUUUAAAGAACUUAAUUUUAUGAUUUGGAGUUGUUAUAAUGGAUAUUAAUGUGAUAAAUAUACUUUUGGUGAUUGGAUAAGCCUUAUGUAUUGCUGGGCUGUUUUGUGAUGAACGUAUUUGUGGUUGGAUUGGAUUGUUGUUUGAUUUUGUUAUAUGGUUGGUUGCUGAAAUAUUUCAUUACAAUUUUGGAAAACGAGUUGGUUCAUUGAAAAUGGAUUGAGUUUGGAUUUGAUUUCUUGAAUUAUAAGAAGGAUAUGAAAUUUUCGAAAUUAGUCUGAUUUUAAACUGAUUUGGUUUUGAACUCGUGGAAGGGAUUGUAUACUGGUUUGGUUGGGACCCGAAACGGGUGGCAAAGUCCAAGUUUUAGGGGAGAUGUUGCCGAAAUUUUAUGAAAUUCAAGAUUUUGUUUUCAAGUAUGAUUUAGAAAAGGAUUGGAUUCGAGAGGUUCUAUUGUUUGGUUCUUGAUUUAUUAAGAAACAGGUGAUUCAAGUUUAAUCUUUUAAGGAAAGCUUAUGUUUUAAGUUUGAUUUAAACAUGAGGAGACCUAUGUUUUGCGGUUUGGUCAAAGAAGUACCCUUGGAGGAUUUUUAGCAGAUUUUAAAGAAAAUUAAACUUUGAUUACUUAAUUUCGCAUUGUUUUUGAAGUAUUCUUUAAAUCUUAACUAAAUAAAUCCAAGCCUUUGGGAAAGUUUCCGAUUUAAGAAUGAAAAGAAAUUGGGUUUUUGGACUUAAAUAAUGUUGGUUUUGAAACUGGCUCGGAACUUUUGGCCUACAUGCCUUGGUUUUGGUUUUAAGUCUCCAUUUUAAAUGAUUUCAAUUUGAGUAAUUAUGAUUCCGAGGAUUUCUAAAGAGUUUGAGAAGUGAGGCAGGUUAUUCUUCCCUAAAGUCUUGUGUCUUCUCAAAGAAAGUUCCGUUUUAAGGUGAUGAUUGAAAGUCUCUUGGAAGUUUUGUAAAAUGUUAUAUUAAGCGACUAAGAUUUGAAAAGGAAUUGAUUUUGAGAAAAGUUGAAUUAUGAGUUUGAAGAGAUUUGAGAAAUAAAAAGUGACUUAUGGCUUGAAUAAUGAUUGGUUUGAUAUGAAUUGUUAAUGAAAUGCGGAAAUGAUGAUGGAUGAAUGAUUAUGAAUAAACAUAUGUGGCUUCUGCACGUUUAUCUGAGAUACGAGUUCCCUGGGUAAAGAACCGUGGCUUGCCACCACGUGUUCCAGGUUGGAUCUUGAUACUCUGUUGACCCUACGUCGUAAGGAUGACCGGGCACGUAUAAAUUCCCAGGUAUGGAUAGCCCCCAGUGAGUGAUUUGAAUGAUGUAUGAAUGUAAAUCUAUGCAUAGACUCAUGGGGAUGCGCGAUGGGGGACAGUCUAAGGACAAUUCAGACUUGUCAGGUUGGCUGGAUAACCGACAGAUGAGCCUCAUCAGCCAUAGGACAGGCAUGCAUCAUAUGCACUUGUAUGCUUUAUUUGCGUUUGAACUUGUUUGGGUUUGCCUAAUUGCUAAACUGUUCUUAACUGCUACUUGAACUAUUUGCUGUAAUUGUUACCUACUUGUGCUUUCCUUGUCUGUCUUGCUUGUGUUUGUCCUGACGUGUUACAUUUGAGAAUGAAUUUUGGUGUUGAAUUAAUGAUUGUGUUGUUGAUUGCGUGGUUGGUUUUUGAUUGAGAUUUUCUUUUAAGAAAGGAAAGGUUUUGGAUUUCUAAAAGAUUAAACAUUGUUUCUUUGAAAAAGUUUUGAACAUUUACUUAUUGGUUUUUAAAAGAUUCAUAAGGCAAUGAUAAUCAGUGAUCUUGAAAACAGUUUUCUUACUAAAUAUCUUAUGACAACUUUGAAACUCCAUGGUGAGACCGUGUGGUUAGGUUCUCACUUCUCACCCCCUACAGCUUUACCUUUUAAGGAACCGGAAGAAGAAGCAUUAAGAGGAGUUAUACUGCGUUUGGUUUAUAUGUUGAAUUAAUUAGAUUAUUCUCUUCUCACCCCCUAUAGCUUUACCUUUUAAGGAACCGGAAGAAGAAGCAUUAAGAGGAGUUAUACUGCGUUUGGUUUAUAUGUUGAAUUAAUUAGAUUAUUCUCUUCCCUCGUCUUUGUUAUUACAAUUUCGUAAGAGGGAUAGGAGUUGUAUGUUUUAUAUAUAUUAUAUUAUAAGUUAUUAUGUAAGAAGUCUCAGCAAUACGGUGUUGAGUCACAGGCUCCUAUUUUAAUAUUAAGUAUAUAAAGUAGUCGUAAUACUUCUUGCAAUUAGAGUGGCGCAGCCGGAAGCGUGAUUUUCUGGUAGUGAGGAUGUUACAUUGAUGUUCUUAUAAAGAGGCGUAAAACGUCUUUUUGUAAAGACACUUAUGUGUCGUAUUAUUAUUGGACGUAUUAAUGAACCGGUUGUUUUUUAAUUUCAUAACAAACUAAAAUAAAACUGAUUUUUUAUAACAAUAACAAUAAACCCAAUUGUUAUCAGAUCCGGUCGAAUCGACCAAUUUACAUAACCUACUGGAUUAUGAUUUUUUU